UACGUAGGGUGCAAGCGUUAAUCGGAAUUACUGGGCGUAAAGCGUGCGCAGGCGGUUGUGCAAGACAGAGGUGAAAUCCCCCGGGCUUAACCUGGGAAUGGCCUUUGUGACUGCACGGCUAGAGUGUGUCAGAGGGGGGUAGAAUUCCACGUGUAGCAGUGAAAUGCGUAGAGAUGUGGAGGAAUACCGAUGGCGAAAGGCAGCCCCCCUGGGAUAACACUGACGCUCAUGCACGAAAGCGUGGGGAGCAAAACAGG
rnacentral:rRNA from 1 species